ensembl:miRNA MIR365B microRNA 365b
GACUGAGCGGCAGCAAGAAAAAUGAGGGACUUUCAGGGGCAGCUGUGUUUUACUAACCCAGUCAUAAUGCCCCUAAAAAUCCUUAUUGUUCUUGCA